rnacentral:rRNA from 1 species
UGGGGGAUAACGCAUCGAAAGGAGUGCUAAUACCGCAUAAUCUCUGAGGAGGAAAGCAGGGGACCUUCGGGCCUUGCGCUGAUNAGAGCGNCCGAUGUCGGAUUAGCUAGUUGGUGAGGUAAAGGCUCACCAAGGCGACGAUCCGUAGCGGGUCUGAGAGGAUGAUCCGCCACACUGGGACUGAGACACGGCCCAGACUCCUACGGGAGGCAGCAGUGGGGAAUUUUGGACAAUGGGCGCAAGCCUGAUCCAGCCAUGCCGCGUGAGUGAAGAAGGCCUUCGGGUUGUAAAGCUCUUUUGUCCGGGAACAAGUCCUACUGGCUNAAUAUCUGGUGGGGAUGAGAGUACUGGAAGAAUAAGCACCGGCUAACUACGUGCCAGCAGCCUCGGUAAUACGUAGGGUGCGAGCGUUAAUCGGAAUUACUGGGCGUAAAGGGUGCGCAGGCGGUUUUGUAAGCCAGAUGUGAAAUCCCCGGGCUUAACNUGGGAACUG